rnacentral:lncRNA from 1 species
AGGUGCCAGUCAUCUCUGAGGUAUAGAAAUAGCUCCAUCUUCCUGGAAUCCAGUGUCUAGUGGAUUAUUCAUUUGGGACCUAAGUACCACUUCUGGAGGCCCCCUCCAACUGAGUAAACUGUCUUUGGAUCAGGCUUGGUUAGGUUCAACUGCAUGUAACUGCAAAUCCAAACGAAUAGAGCUUAAAAUAAGACUAGUGUUGAUUUUUCCAAUUUUAAAAAGAGAACUGGAGAUAGGCAGCUGCACAACAUCAGUGGGAAUUCUGUCUCCUUUCAGUUCACCAGCCAUCUGCUAUCCAUCAGAUGUGGCAAUAUCCUCAUGAUCUAAAGCAAUGGCUAGAGCUCCAGCCAUUCUAGGAUGCAGGAUGGAGGAAAGGAAGAAGAGCAUGUCGCCUUCCUUUCAAGGAAAUAUCCUGUUGAAGAAGUCCGGCGCCGGAGGAAAGCCAGAGACCACGGAGACGCGGGCUUCGGCUUCCUAGAGAGGUAGCACGCGACACUUGGGCGCCGUGGCCGACGUGGUGACGCACUUCCGGUCGUGCCGCAGUGCGCCUUUCCUGAGGUGAGUUUUCAGGGUUCCUGAACCGACUGGGAACACACCUGUCACCGCUGGAAAAGGCAGUCGCCUUCGUCCUUGAUGCCGUGGUGGAAGGAGUCGGGUGGCGCCACCGGGUCCGGGGAGCGAGGGCGGCCUGCUGGCCAGUUCCGCUUGCCCUCGCCCUCGGUGCCUUCAUCCCAACCCGCCGGGGCCGCCCCCGGAAAUGGGGCUGUGGAUGGAAAGAACACGCCGUUUGACUAGACACAGCCAUAACCUCCCCUGCCCCCUGGGCCGAAGACUUCUCACAGAGCAGUUAAAUGCCAGCUGCUGUUCUAGGUUCCCAAGAUGCAGCUGCGAAUGAGACGGCCUUGGGCCCCUCUCUCAGGGAGCUUUCAGUUUAAUGGAAAGUCACCUAUUAAUCCAGUGGUAUCAUUUCAUCAUUUUAAUGGAAAGUCACCUAUUAAUCCAGUGCUAUCAUUUCAUCAUUUCACUCCGCCUAACCCGAACCAGUAGUUGUGGUCUUGGUUUUACGUUGAAGACCAAGUCCUUGACGUGCAUGAGGCUCUGCGUGACUUGGUCUCUUGCACCUUCUUCACACUCAUAUUCACACUCCCCUUGGCUCGGCUACAGACUUUAACUUUACAAACAUGCAUUUGCACGUGCUGUUACUUUUGUAAAGAUUUUCCUUUUGAUCUAGUUAAUUUCUAUUCUUAAGCGUCCCCAUCUACCAUAAAUUGCCCCCGACGCUAAUCACAAUUGUGGCCUUAAAAGCUAAUUAUGAGAAUCUUUGAUUGAUACCUGUGUUUCCUUUAGUCUAAAGUAAACUCCAUGAUGGAAGGGAUCACACCUUUCUUCACUGUAUCUCCCGUGCCUCACACUUGGCCUGAAAUGAAUUAAGCCUGUGAUAAAUGUUUGUUGGAUGAAGAAAACACAAAUAAGUGUAUAAUCCAAACCAGAAGAGGUGGUAUGUAAGAAAGGGAAUACAGUGCUAGUGGAGUGUGUAAUCUCAGGCCUGAUCUGGUGUGUAGAGACAGGCUAGGAUCUGAAGGGUGAACUGGUGUUAUCUAGAGAGGCCAGGCUGCUAGAGAGUUCUGCACCAGAGAACAUCAGGUACAAAAGUUCUAAGGUUGGAGAAGAGUGGUUCAUGCAGAGGAAACAGCAGGUACAAAGGUCCUGAGCUAGCAUAGUAGAGAAACUGAAGGGAGACCACCGUGGCUAAAUUAAGAGAAAGGAGGAGAUGGUAUAAGAUGAGGCUAGCAGGAAAUCGCAGUAUGCAGUGAGUUUCUUUUAGAAAGAUGCUGGCUUUUUGGUAGAAUAUGACUGCUUGACAAGAAUUCAGUGUCUCUAGGGGAUGAUAUAAUUAAAGUAAUAACCUGAACAUCUUAGUAUGUUGAAGUGGCCUUUUCAUGGUCCUUUGCUAAUUGGUUUCGGGCUUUCACUGGAUCCUAGAAUGGAGUGAUGAACAAAAAAUAUGCUUGCCACAAGGUCCAAGAAAGAGAAACCUUACUCUGAGAUUCUUUUUCUGAAUUUUUUGGGCUACAUUUACCUAUUCUUAAUAUUAGCCUUAGAAUUGCUUUAUUAAGUUCUUAAAAAAAUUCGAUUGGGAUUACAAUGGGAAGCAUUUUGUUGUAGUUAUUAAAAGCAUGGACUUUAGAAUUUGGCCUAUCUGGUUUGGGAUCCAGGUUCAUCCUUCCACUGACCGAGUGACCUUGGUAGAGAAAACUAUUUUCUUAGACUCUUUUUUUCUUAUUUGAGAAAAAGAAAAAGUUCAAAGGAUUAUUGUGGAGACUGAAUGAGAAGGUGUGUAUUUUUCAUCCAAAAACAUAUUUCUAUUUUUUUCUGAUUUUUAAAAUUUUUUUAAUAUUUUUAAGAAAAAUAGAUUUUUUAUUGCUCAGUCAUUUCAGAUUCGUCUGACUUACAAACUAAUAACAUAAUGUUCAAAUACAAUUUAAUGUUUUUUUCUGAUUUUUUAAAGUAUAGUUGAUUUAUAAUGUUUUCUUCAUUUUCUGUUGUACAGCAAAGUGACCUAAUCACACACGGUUCCCUUUGCUCUAUGUAGGAGCGCAUUCAUUGCCCAUCCAUUCCAAAUGUUACAGUUUCUAUCCACCAACCCCAAACUCCCCGUCCAUCCCACUUCCUCCCACUGUGGGUAUUUUUUUUUUAAUUUUUAUAUUUCUCAAUACAUUUUUUUUUAAAUAAAGGUCUAGGUUUCCUGUUGUUAUGGCUUGCUUUGAGUUUUCUGGUGUCUUUUGCUUGUUUUGCUCUUUGCGUAUUCAUGUUUCCCUGUCUUCAUGUCUUAGGACAGGCAGUGUUGAAUGAUGGUGGUGAGUACAGGGUGCCCAAGGGCAGGUUACAUACCUUUCAAAUUAACGGUUUCCUCAGAAUUCAAACCUUGAGGAAUAGUGUGGAGUAAAAGAGGAGAUAUUUAUAUACCAUUUACUGAAGGACAUUUAGUAAGUGAUUGCAGCUGCUGUUAUUGGCAGGUUAUUUUAAAGGAGAGCCUUUGGGGAGUUCCCACUGUGGCUCAGCGGUAAGGAACCUGACUAGUAUCCAUGAGGAUGUGGGUUCGAUCCCUGGCCUUGCUCAGUGGGUUAAGGAUCUGGUGCACUGCCCCAAGCUGCGGUGUAUGUUGCAAAUGUGGCUCAGAUCCACUGUUACUGUGGCUGUGGUGUAGGCUGGCAGCUGUAGUUCCGAUUCGAUGCCUAGCCUGGGAACUUCCAUAUGCCAAGGGUGCGGACCUAAGUGGACCUUAAAAAAAAAAAAAAAAAAA